GGCAGCGGGAAACUCAUUAGUGGGGUCACAAGCUGAGUGUCACACGUCAUUCCACCCCCAUGUCCCUUGGGAAGGUCUGAGACAAGGGCCAGAGGCAGCCCAAACAGGGCUCUCCCUGAGUUUCUGGGAGGUGAAUUCCCAGAGAACCUGGCUCCCUGCGAGGUCAGACUGGGCUGGACAAGCCGCGGACCCACCCUUUGGGUAAGGGCCAGGUGGAUGCCUCCUCAGUCAGAGCUUGGAACAGACUCAUGGCCAACCAAGUGAGUUCAAUGAGGUGAGGCACCCCACGCCAGGGGCCUCAUCACCCAAUCAGACUACUCUCUCCCGUC
ensembl:ribozyme RNaseP_nuc Nuclear RNase P